rnacentral:rRNA from 1 species
AACGAACGCUGGCGGCAUGCCUAACACAUGCAAGUCGAACGAAGCCUUCGGGCUUAGUGGCGCACGGGUGCGUAACGCGUGGGAAUCUGCCCUUGGGUUCGGAAUAACAGUUAGAAAUGACUGCUAAUACCGGAUGAUGUCUUCGGACCAAAGAUUUAUCGCCCAAGGAUGAGCCCGCUUAUUUUUUUGUAGUUGGUGGGGUAAUGGCCCACCAAGCCGACGAUCCUUAGCUGGUCCGAGAGGAUGAUCAGCCACACUGGGACUGAGACACGGCCCAGACUCCUACGGGAGGCAGCAGUGGGGAAUAUUGGACAAUGGGCGAAAGCCUGAUCCAGCAAUGCCGCGUGAGUGAUGAAGGCCUUAGGGUUGUAAAGCUCUUUUACCAGGGAUGAUAAUGACAGUACCUGGAGAAUAAGCUCCGGCUAACUCCGUGCCAGCCGCCGCCGUAAGAC